UGGGGAAUAUUGGACAAUGGGCGAAAGCCUGAUCCAGCCAUGCCGCGUGUGUGAAGAAGGUCUUCGGAUUGUAAAGCACUUUAAGUUGGGAGGAAGGGCAUUAACCUAAUACGUUAGUGUUUUGACGUUACCGACAGAAUAAGCACCGGCUAACUCUGUGCCAGCAGCCGCGGUCGUACAGAGGGUGCAAGAGUUAAUCGGAAUUACUGGGCGUAAAGCGCGCGUAGGUGGUUUGUUAAGUUGGAUGUGAAAUCCCCGGGCUCAACCUGGGAACUGCAUUCAAAACUGACUGACUAGAGUAUGGUAGAGGGUGGUGGAAUUUCCUGUGUAGCGGUGAAAUGCGUAGAUAUAGGAAGGAACACCAGUGGCGAAGGCGACCACCUGGACUAAUACUGACACUGAGGUGCGAAAGCGUGGGGAGCAAACA
rnacentral:rRNA from 1 species